ACGGAUGCCGCCCACGGAACUAGCCAUCGAAACAACAACGUAGAGAGUGUUCCAGUGUCAGAAAACAGUAACAGCAUGGCCAUCUCUGACCUGGGCCUCAGCGACACCACCUCCAUAGGAGCCAAACCCAUAGUAUCGGGUUAUUCGAAAAGUUUAUUUUUUUUUGUUAUUAUUAUUAUUUAAUUUGUUCGUUACAAUUUGUCCAGCUGAACAUCUGGUAAAUGUUUCUAACUUAAUUGCUAAAUAACACGUGGAUGGCUACCCUCAGCGGGUUACCAUCUCCGAGUUUGACUAUUCUAUUUCUUUAGCGAGGUCAAUGGAGUGUUUUCUUUUUAGUCUUCUUUCUAUGAGAGUUUUGCUCGCUUCAGCAGCCAGCUGACUUGGAUGUGUUGCCGUUCUUCUCUUGUAUUUUUCUGCGUACCUGCCAAUUUUUUCUUUGACCGUUAGUUUCUUUUUUUU